GCUGCAGAGACGGUCAGUGGUUAGGAGCACCCGCUGUUCCUACAGAGGACCUGGUUUUGGUUCCCAGAAUCCACAUCAGAGACAGGGUUUCUUGUGUAGUUUUGGAGCCUAUGCUGGCACUCGCUCUGGAGACCAGGCUGGCCUGGAACUCACAGAGAUCCCCCUGCCUCUGCUGGGAUUAAAGGGGUGCACCGCCAACGACCGGCGAGAAAAAAAUCUUAAGAUACCGGAACUCCCGCCCAACAUACAUAUUUCUAUACACAGGGCUGGUGCUGACCGAGCGCAACAUCACCGGGUGGGGGCGGGCGAGCU
rnacentral:lncRNA from 1 species